CCUACGGGAGGCAGCAGUAAGGAAUAUUGGUCAAUGGGCGGAAGCCUGAACCAGCCAUGCCGCGUGCAGGAAGACUGCCCUACGGGUUGUAAACUGCUUUUGUACCGGAAUAAACCUUGAUACGUGUAUCAAGCUGAAUGUACGGUAAGAAUAAGGAUCGGCUAACUCCGUGCCAGCAGCCGCGGUAAUACGGAGGAUCCAAGCGUUAUCCGGAUUUAUUGGGUUUAAAGGGUGCGUAGGUGGCUUUUUAAGUCAGGGGUGAAAGACGGUAGCUUAACUAUCGCAGUGCCUUUGAUACUGAAGAGCUUGAAUGAACUAGAGGUAGGCGGAAUGUGACAAGUAGCGGUGAAAUGCAUAGAUAUGUCACAGAACACCAAUUGCGAAGGCAGCUUACUAUGGUUUAAUUGACACUGAGGCACGAAAGCGUGGGGAUCAAACAGGAUUAGAUACCCUGGUAGUCCACGCCCUAAACGAUGAAUACUCGAUGUUGCGAUAUACGGUCAGCGUCUAAGCGAAAGCGUUAAGUAUUCCACCUGGGGAGUACGCCCGCAAGGGUGAAACUCAAAUGAAUUGACGGNGNGAGAGNGCGAGACGACGACGAGGGAGGAGG
rnacentral:rRNA from 1 species